GACGAACGCUGGCGGCGUGCUUAACACAUGCAAGUCGAACGGUGAAGCGAGUGCUUGCACUCGUGGAUCAGUGGCGAACGGGUGAGUAACACGUGAGUAACCUGCCCAUCACUCUGGGAUAAGCACUGGAAACGGUGUCUAAUACUGGAUACGACCAACCCUUGCAUGGGGUGUUGGUGGAAAGAUUUAUCGGUGAUGGAUGGACUCGCGGCCUAUCAGCUUGUUGGCGGGGUAAUGGCCCACCAAGGCGACGACGGGUAGCCGGCCUGAGAGGGUGACCGGCCACACUGGGACUGAGACACGGCCCAGACUCCUACGGGAGGCAGCAGUGGGGAAUAUUGCACAAUGGGCGAAAGACUGAUGCAGCGACGCCGCGUGAGGGAUGACGGCCUUCGGGUUGUAAACCUCUUUCAGCAGGGAAGAAGCGAAAGUGACGGUACCUGCAGAAGAAGCACCGGCUAACUACGUG
rnacentral:rRNA from 1 species